GUGCUAGUGCAGAAGGUAGCUCAAGAGUAAAAGCAGCUUCAUCAAUGGCCAUUAGUAUCCGAGCAAGCUUGACAGUGACUAUAGGAUCCAAGGUUGGAUCCAUGGGAGUCUCAAACACGGCAAUUAGCGCUUCCUCAGGUGUCUUUCUAGGAACCACCCUCGAAGAGCCUUCGCGAUGGGUGGACAGGAAGAGACUGAGCCGACCACCUC
rnacentral:lncRNA from 1 species